ACAUUGCAGCCCGACUUGAGUGGAAAUCCUUUUUGCCUGAAAUCAAUUUCUUUUUAAAAAUAAACGUCGAAGCAAAAAGAUUGGGAACGGAAGGCGGAAAAGCUG
rnacentral:sRNA from 1 species